rnacentral:tRNA from 1 species
UGCGGGGUAGAGUAGCGGCAGCUCGUUAGGUUCAUAUCCUAAAUGUCGAGGGUUCGAAUCCCUCCCCCGCAA